rnacentral:misc_RNA from 1 species
AUGGAUCAUUACCAAUUUAACUUUGCUGGUUUGUAUCGGACCCGAGUGGUUCGGUGCACAACUACCAUGUAAACGUUGAACUUGAUCAUCAGUGUUGUGGAUUGUCGGUCUGAUUUAUUUCGGUCAGGCAUUCCCCACGCUGAUACCAUUUUAUAUAAUAUACACUCGUAUAUACUACAAACAAACAAACAAAUACAGUUUUAAUAGGACUUAUCAUGGACCGAGUGGGUAACAGCCUCAGUCUUAAAAAUAUAACUAUUACAACUUUCAGCAAUGGAUCUCUAGGCUCUC